GGAGGGGUUCCCGAGUGGCCAAAGGGAGCAGACUGUAAAUCUGCCGGCGAACGCCUUCGCAGGUUCGAAUCCUGCCCCCUCCACCA
rnacentral:tRNA from 2 species